GUUAUCGGAAUACUGGGCGUAAGCGAGCGUAGGUGGCUUAAUAAGUCAGAUGUGAAAUCCCCGGGCUUAACCUGGGAACUGCAUCUGAAACUGUUAGGCUAGAGUAGGUGAGAGGGAAGUAGAAUUCCAGGUGUAGCGGUGAAAUGCGUAGAGAUCUGGAGGAAUACCGAUGGCGAAGGCAGCUUCCUGGCAUCAUACUGACACUGAGGUUCGAAAGCGUGGGUAGCAAACAGGAUUAGAUACCCUGGUAGUCCACGCCGUAAACGAUGUCUACUAGUCGUUGGGUCCCUUGAGGACUUAGUGACGCAGCUAACGCAAUAAGUAGACCGCCUGGGGAGUACGGCCGCAAGGUUAAAACUCAAAUGAAUUGACGGGGGCCCGCACAAGCGGUGGAGCAUGUGGUUUAAUUCGAUGCAACGCGAAGAACCUUACCUGGUCUUGACAUACACAGAAUCUUGCAGAGAUGCGAGAGUGCCUUCGGGAAUUGUGAUACAGGUGCUGCAUGGCUGUCGUCAGCUCGUGUCGUGAGAUGUUGGGUUAAGUCCCGCAACGAGCGCAACCCUUUUCCUUAGUUACCAGCGGUUUGGCCGGGAACUCUAAGGAUACUGCCAGUGACAAACUGGAGGAAGGCGGGGACGACGUCAAGUCAUCAUGGCCCUUACGACCAGGGCUACACACGUGCUACAAUGGUAGGUACAGAGGGCAGCUACACAGCGAUGUGAUGCGAAUCUCAAAAAGCCUAUCGUAGUCCAGAUUGGAGUCUGCAACUCGACUCCAUGAAGUAGGAAUCGCUAGUAAUCGCGGAUCAGAAUGCCGCGGUGAAUACGUUCCCGGGCCUUGUACACACCGCCCGUCACACCAUGGGGAGUUGAUUGCACCAGAAGUGGAUAGCCUAACGAAAGAGGGCGUUCACCACGGUG
rnacentral:rRNA from 1 species